ACGCGGUUAGCUCGAUUCGUUCGCGCAUCCGGCCACCGAAGCGCGUGCACUUCUCCCUCAGUACAACACCGCGACCCGUCGGUGCGGCGGUCUACCGCGUCCGGCAGAGAGUCCCGGCGCUCGGCUUCGGUCGGGCUCCGGAAUCUGCUCGGCGUCGCGGCCGCCGCCCGACGGUAGAGAACGAGGAUCGGGUUCGGCGCAUCGCGCGUCCGAAUCGGGGAGCGGCGUCCUGCGUUUCGGGCUCCGGCGUUUCGGCGUCGCAGUCCCGGGCGUACAGUCCUCCGGGCAAAGGGGCGUCGUCGCUUCGAUCUCCGAACCGGACCCGUCCCGGUCUGCGGUGGUUACGUUUCGGGAACUCACAGGACCCGUCUUGAAACACGGACCAAGGAGUCUAGCAUGCGCGCGAGUCAUAGGGAAUUGAUAAACCCUGAGGCGCAAUGAAAGUGAAAGGCCUCACGNCCRAAGGGACGAUGGCGAACGGCUCGCCGUUCC
rnacentral:rRNA from 1 species